rnacentral:rRNA from 1 species
GACGAAGGGGGCUAGCGUUGUUCGGAAUUACUGGGCGUAAAGGGCGCGUAGGCGGUUUGUUAAGUCAGGCGUGAAAGCCCUGGGCUCAACCUGGGAUGUGCGCUUGAUACUGGCAAGCUUGAGUGCAGGAGAGGAUGGUGGAAUUCCCAGUGUAGAGGUGAAAUUCGUAGAUAUUGGGAAGAACACCGGUGGCGAAGGCGGCCAUCUGGACUGCAACUGACGCUGAGGCGCGAAAGCGUGGGGAGCAAACAGG